rnacentral:rRNA from 1 species
UACGUAGGGUGCGAGCGUUGUCCGUAAUUAUUGGGCGUAAAGAGCUCGUAGGCGGCUUGUCACGUCGGUUGUGAAAGCCCGGGGCUUAACCCCGGGUCUGCAGUCGAUACGGGCAGGCUAGAGUUCGGUAGGGGAGAUCGGAAUUCCUGGUGUAGCGGUGAAAUGCGCAGAUAUCAGGAGGAACACCGGUGGCGAAGGCGGAUCUCUGGGCCGAUACUGACGCUGAGGAGCGAAAGCGUGGGGAGCGAACAGG